CCGGGAGAGGACCUCCGAAAAUUUCCUCUCGUCUCGCGUGCACUUUUUUGUCUCAUUUGUGGAAAGUCAAUACAAUUUGCAAGGCCGUGGCCGAGCUCACCUCUGCUGUUUUAAUAAACCGCCUAAUAACUUCCAUCUCCAGAGUGAUGGAUGGACUCCGGGAUAAACUUUCUCCUGUCCAACGGCCUGACUGCAACUCGCUGUCCGCAUCAGCACAAAUUUCAUCCCAGUGAUGACCGCCCUGGAUGCGCGGAGGUGGGCUGGAUGUGUCGACACAAGAAAAUUUCAACUUCAAGUGCCUUCGUGACGUGUGGAGCGUCACCAGGUCGCAAGCUCUUUCUGUUUCAUAAUGUUUGGGGGAAAAUGAACUGAACUUGAAAAAAAUGAACAUUUGAACAUUUUCCUGCUUUGGCCAAACCAAUGUGAACUAGAACUCAAAAGGACAGAUAGGCCUAAUGUGUUUUAGAAUUACUGUGUGGACCUGUGUAAACUUUUGUGGAGUCAUGCUGCUCAAACUUCGCAAAAAAGGAGAAAAUUGGCUGAGGUAAGUCUUCGAAACUGAGGUGAGUAAACCAUCAUUUCCCUUACUUCAGAAAUGAAAUGUUAAUAAACGAAUGGAAGUGUGUUUGACAUCAAUCAUGUAGCCUAGGGCUUAAACACAAUGAUUACGGUUAGCCUGUGUCACUUUAUUUGACUCGACUGUGAAUGCUUAAAGCCUAGUACAUAUACACAUUUGAAUAAAAACACCGUAGUAAUGGUUAAAUUCUACUUUUAAACUGGAAGGAAUGAUAGGGUUUGGGGGUAGCCAUUUCAUCCUUACUAAUACUUAGCGAAGAAGAAAUCGCAUGUUGUCCGUUUCACUGAAUGCGUCUCAACGUUUUUUCCCCGGCCCUGUUAAUUUGCAUGAGAAUGAGUAUGGCACGUGUGACAUUAUGUUCUCGCGUGCCAAUAAAACAGUGAGCGUGGCUUUGGGUUCCGUUAAUCCCAUCAUUGUCUGAAAACUUGCUGCAUGAAAGGCAUUAGAAUGCGGUUACUUGCCCAGGUGUUGGUGUCUGAUUGCUGACUUAUUGCAAAUCUUCCGGGCUGCAAAAGACCGCAAGUCUGACAGAGUUUGUAAACAUGUUCGCCACCACAGAGAACUCCUUUACGUAAGCAAUAUAAUCAUUUAUUAUAAUUGGAAUUAUGAUUUUCCUCCAGCUGCGAUUAUUGUAAAUUACAUGCAGACUGAACUCUUUGGAAAUUUCCAGAUUUUAUCUAGUUAUCUUGGUCUAAGUUGUAGAUUUUUUAACGUACUUACUGCGGUGGUAUUCCAGAGGAAAUUUUAAAAAUACUUGUAAUAGUUGUUUGAUUGUUGCCAUUACAAAUGCCACACAACUUUACACCAGUAAUUUCAGGUAACAGAUCUUUACGUUAGCUAAAUGGAUCAAUGCUUGGUGCUAACAAGGCCGGAAUUACCUUUGAACAUAAUCAGAUUAGGGCGAUGGGGCAAUGUGCUAUAAUAACCCCAAAUAUUACUGAAAGUUUACGUGUGACGGUGGUGUGCAUCGUCGCAAGAUUCUUCAACCACGAUUUCUGCAAAACGCUGAUGGGAUAAAUAACAAUAAGAUGAAUAUCAUGGACACUUUUGUGGCCUUUCAAGUGAAUAUGAAUAUAUUUUAAGUGAACACAAUUAGAAAUCACAGAUUCGGUAUAAUGUCAAAUACAAUAUUGCAACUUGGGUUAAGUGUUUUGGGGGUAGGUAGGGAUGCAAAUGCAGGAGCGGCAGCCGCAGCGUGAAACAGCGAGUUACUGUGUGUGUUUUUGUAACCAUCAGUGUGAGUCCGUGUGGUAGGCUAGGCUUAGUUAGGCCCAACUCGGAGUUCGUUAGAAAUCUGCCUGCGUUUUAUCCUCGCCGAACUCGCAAAUCUGAGGUCUGGUAUGAAUGUCAAAGCGGGUCGGGUCAAGUAAAAUCCAAGGUUAGUGAAGAAGAUUCAAGGUAAUGGGCGAAUCGUCUGCGGUCAAAAGGUCGGACAAAAUGUCCCUACGUAGCUAUCAUGUAUACUCGCGCGAGGAAUGGUAAUCAUAGUAUACCUUGGUAUUAGUGUAGGGAACAAAGUUGAGAAUGUGAGUGAGAAGGAAUACGUGAAGGUGAAAUCAGUGAGCAAAAGCAGCUGGCUGCAAGCACGCGCACACCUUGCGCGCUCAAGCAGCGCCACUUCAAUGGGUCGGAGGGUCUAAAAGAUUUCGUUGGGCAGAUUUUAACCUGUCGCCUCUCCAAACAUGCAUCUUUCACAAACAGUGAUCAGGUUGCGUUCAUUUUAAUUUAAGAUAUAUUUCUAUGAUUCAGACGGACUCUAACAAUCAUGAAGGGGAAAUAUUAACCAAGGUUUCAACAUUACAUUUCAGUUAGUAUAAUGGAAAAUGCUUUAGUCAAGAGAAAGAAGCCUCAUGACAUAGCACACUUAGGUACUAAAAGUUUUGUAGACAGUGAACGCGUAAAUUUGCAAUGGUGGAAUCAAUGAUCAUAAUGUGUGAAGUCAAUGCUAUGUGCAGUGACGAAGGGUUAUUCUAUAUAUACAUGAAUGAAAGUACUAGUGUAAAGUUUUCUCGGUUCUGAAAUGUAUCCCAAUCAUUUGAAUCCAGUUUUCUCACUUGUUAUAGUAAUUAUUACUGGAUGAUUCUCAAAAAAUACAAACAUAUCCACUGGAAUACCACCCGCUGUUGGCCAAGUAGACUGAAAUUUAAAUUAUUGCUGACUGACGAAAGCAAGUUACAGCUUAUUCCAUUAUAACUGUAUAAGAAAGGCACUUGAAGUCGAAUGCUACCGGUACAUACUCGAUCAUAAAUGAUUAUCAGUUGAAUGACAGGAUUCUCCAAGGAACAAGGAAAUUUGAACAGACUAUACGAUUUAAGUGGCAGGCUCACUUCUACACUAUCUGGAAAAAAUAUUAUUGUGUAAAAAUUAACCACAGCGAAAGUGACUCUAAGACACUGUUACUGGCAGUCUCUGGCCAACGAGCUUUGUUAUAUCCUUGAAAGAAAUUACAGCCCGAAAGAGGAACAGCUUUAAAUUGGAUAAAAUUACCGACAAUGCCUGGAGUUUUGUUCGAAAUCUUUAUGACGUCCCGCGCAAUCAGCUAGAAAACAUUACAAAAGUUAAGUUCGUUAUAGUUGUUUAACUUGUUCAACAGCUUCUUUAACAUUAGAUUGUUUGCUCUAUGCAUGAAAUUACAACUGUAAAUAGGAGAGCCUUCAGGAACAUUUGUGGCAAUGCCUGGAGCGUUGCCGACUUUCUUCGAAAAGCAGACACAUUUAUUUCAUUAUAACUGUAUAAAAUCCUCAUCAGUAUCGAUUAUAUUAAGCAAUGAAGCUCAUUAUUGCAGACAAUGGCCGGUACUUUGUCUGUCACACCGACUAUGAUAGGUCGUAAGAUCUCACUAGAGAAGACAGUGUUAAUGUGAACAACGAAGAGUAAAUUUCAGCUUCAGAAAGUGAUAGUGCUUGGCUCGUUGCCACUGAGUCUCUUGAUCAAGCUUGGUGAUAUUUCUAAGAGGCCCCUUCCUGCUGAAAACGGAGGCAACACUUUUAACAUUUAUAUUAGUUUCUUUAAUCGAACAUUAAUUAUUAAACACGUCAACACCUUAUUUUAGAUAUAUUAAAGGAGUUCUCUGUAGACGUACUGGAGCAAAAGAAGCAGAGAAAAAUCUCUCGACGAAAUAAUGAUUAAAAUCUGGGAUUAGCGCCGCCUGUACAAGCACCGCAAAUAAUUCAAACCAAUUAACGAAAUAAUGAAAUCUACAUGGAAUAGAUUCAGAUUCACUAAUAUAUUUGAACGAUUAACAUCAUGUUUACCAGCAGCGAGUAUGGUGACAAUAGCCAAAAUGAUAAACUUUGUUCAUUAUAACUGUAUAAAUGGUUUCAAAAUCGAUGGCUUAAGGUUGAUGUAGGCCCAUAAUAUCCCCAUUGUUUAAAAAACCUGUUACAAGUCAUCAAGGAAUAACUUUUUAAGGUAGAUACCACUUGCAACGUCUGGUGCGUUGUCCAGUUUCUACAGAAAAAAAAACACAAUUUGUUUUAAUCGCCAUCAACGAGUAUUGUGAAGUUAUAAUUGUAUAAGAUGUUAACAUCUGAAUCACCACCUGUACUGCAAUUCUGUUCAUAAUCUGCAAUAGAUGUCAGUUUUCGGUUUUCCAAGUAAUAUUUUUCUCGUGUUUUAUUCACCAUGACCAAUCAUUAAGUUGGUUACAAUUGUAUAAGCUUUCAAUAUCUAAGCCACCAGCGGUAUUGUAAUUCGGUAAAAAAAACUGUAUUGGAGUCGGAGACAGGGCCUGGUUUGUGAUCCAGUUUCCAUAGAAGAUCUUGUUUUAUUCACAAUGAUCAAUGUAAGUUAGUCACAAUUUUGUAAACUUUAAUUCAUUAAUAUCAGCACCAUCAACUUCCAUAUAGUCAGUCUAUACAAAUCUAUUACGAGCGUAAGUGACAAUACUUGGUCUUGCACGUUGUCCGGUUCAUGUACAUGUAUUCCCUGAAACUGUAGGCCUACUGCUUUACAACAGAUUACAUCCUGUGUGUUCACUUGAAUAUAAUUUAAGAUUUUAACACGAAUUUGUAUAGAUUUUGUAGGGAAGUGAAGUUUGUCAGUGUAACGGUAAAAAGAAAAAGGUAAACUAUUUCAUGUCAUGAAAUAUUUGGUGUGGAAUAUUGAAAAGAUUAACGCUAAAUUGUAAAUAUUUCUUGAAGUGCAUUUUCACUUGUUACCACUCUGUGGUCCUGAUUGUGUGGCGUUACUAUUUCAACCCUUGUUCCCGAAGACUUCCAUGACUGAAACAGGAAAAAUAACUAGUACGGCGCCGACAGAAGUAAUUCUUGAAAAUGAGGUUACCUUUUUUCCAAUCCGCAACAGGAGAACGGAAACGACAAAAAUGACAGAAAAACAAACCACCUCGACCGUUACUCUCGCAUAAAAUCAUUUCUGACGUCGGAAUUACUUUUCGCGAACGUUCAUACUCGGUCACAAUAACGACGAAAAUUAUGAAAGGAUUACGUACCGAAAAGUGACAAAAGUCGCUGCAAAAAACUAACGAAAAAUUGAAGCGAUAACGAGUCUCUGAAAAAUUGGUGGUAACACCAAGAAAAAUUAAACAAAAUCAAAUGGGAGUAUCGAAGUAUAUGGUGAAAAUCAUUGCGAUGAUAUUGAAAGGAAUAGACUUUGAAAUCAGCGUUCUUUUCCGAGAACUUGAACACAUCUAUGAAACCUUCGACCAGAAUAUAUAAAAACCGGUUAUUACUGCCAAAAUAAAAUUAUACAAUCAGUGAUGAUGAAAGAAGUAACUCUUGAAAUCAGAAUUCCUUUUUUUCUCAGAACUGCGACACCACGGAAAAAAGACAAAAUCAAAAACGACGAUUAUUGCCUGGAAAAUCCACGAAAACAUACGAAAAUUGCAUCCGAGUUCAAAUAAGCGACCUUCGCGAUCUCCAAAACAUACGGUGACGAAAGUGAACAUUAUUUGAACGUUUCAAAGCGACGGGUAAAUAACGAAAAUUUCGUCAAAACUAAAAUCGCUAAAAAUCACGGCUUCGGUAUUGAAUUUAAUUUCAGAAAUCAGCGUUCGAAUUCUGAAACAUCUUCAAAAAUCGAUAGCAAAAAUUACGAAAAAAAAUGAAACACGAAGAUAAUGAGUACAGAUGCGAAUUUUCAAACCGCGUAAAACGACGUAAACGACGAAAAUUAUCGGGUAGCGCGAAAAAAGAUAACUUUGUUAAAAUAAAAAAUGAAAGCAGCAAUGAGUCUUCAAAAUUCGAUGACAAAAAUAAUCGACCGAAUUUAAACAGAAAUUGUAAAAUAGCUAUCAUAUGACAGUGGUGAAAGAAGUAAUUCUCGACAACAGACUUACAUUUUCUCUUGAUGUUUUUUCCCAGUAGACUAUCAUUUCAGUUUUAAAGUCAAAAGACAGUUAAUGUCAUCCUUACUUAUUACACAGUGGAAAGAUCUCCAACUAAAUCUGCAUUACCUUAAAAAGACGAAGUCAGUCUGUAAACUGUCUCGCAAGUAAACUUCUGUGUUAGUGCCAUCCGAGUAACAUCGGUAUAUAGGCGGAUGGCUUAAGCGCUGGUAAUUGUGACAUUUGUCAGAUUAUUGUAGCCAGUAAGUGUUCAUCUUCCUCGACUGUGAACAUAAGACCGAUCUUGGAAAGAUUGGCUGGACAUGUACAUUGUAUCACUUUCGAAGUUACAUCUUUGAAAGUAUCAGGUGCUAACUACUAGGCCUAUACUGUGAGAAACCUUAGGUCGGAGGCAAAAUCUGUAAGGGUGAACGAUCUUCUUAAUUUUGCCUGACGCGGUUGCAAUUUGUCUUGGUCGUUAGACCUUGGUUGAUAAUGUAAGUCCGAUUUUUAUACAUCGGCAUUGGCGAACAUUUUCUUUUGUAUCACUCUAUGUAAGUCUGACCGGUUAUCAGAUCGGCUUGGGCUAUUUUCAUCUUGUAAGGUAUUUAUACAACGUGAAGCUUUUUUUAACUGAACAGUGAGUCCGGUUGCAAAAUCGGCAACUUGUAAGUCCGAAAAGCUUCGGCGAAAGUGAAAAUUGGUUUAAUUUGUUGUUAUCGCAGCUAGAAGAUAAUCUUUGACAAAAUAAGUAGGUCCGGUGGCAAAGACCGGCAUUUUGCAAUCUUCGUUUUAAGUCUGAUCUGUAAGAAUCAGCAUGGGAAGUGAUGGGAAUUUUUUCCCCGAGUGAUUAUGACUUUCGCCAGUAUUUUCUGUGCUCACGAAGCGUUAUAACACCCACCCUCUCCCAACAGGUUCCUUUUGGUUAAAGUAGACUAUUAUAACUCAAUUCUUCAAUGCUUUUAACCAGCAUGGCUGAUAGUCUCAUGCAGUCCUAGUUGAAUGGCCAUGUAAAGGUAUCUCGCUUUUCGAAUUGAUUACUCAUAAGUUAUCAAACAGUAUUCCCACUGGUAUUUGUGAGCUGAGAACAACGUUUGCUUUCCAUAAAGCCACUCUUCACAAGUCACAGGUAAGCCUUUCACUUGUAGCUUAUUUAAUGCUCUUGAAUAUUUCACGGAAAUAUGAUAUACCUAUAUGAUACGUAUAGAUAUUGUGAUAGACCUAGCUAGGGUAGGCCUAGGGCUUCUGUUCCCCUUGUGUCCUAGACCAAGAUGCACCGCUCCCACCAGUGAAGAAGAGAACCUACAAGCCCAAAUAAGACUGGAUGCAUGUCGACCCCCCCCCAUCAGGAUAAGGAUGGACUGCUUCUCAGACAGGAACCAUAAGCAGAGAGGAGGACCAACAGAUGACUGAUGACCCUGCUUGCUGAGGGUGUCAUCAAAGGACCUUAAAGUCGGGUUGCUGUACUCAGACAAGAAGAAUGGCUGUUCAUUAAGCAUGCAAUUACUCUUGGGGUAAGUGUAAUGAAAAAAAGCAGAUAGAUUAUUAAAAAAUGUUCUAAACUUGCUAAAUCGUACCCAUCGAAUUUGGAUUGCAUUGCUUGUUUCUGUAAUUCAAGAUUAUGUUGACUGUUUGUCUUGGAAGUUCUCAUGCAGUGAACCGUGAAAAAAAUGAGUUUCUCAAGUACUAAGGAAAACUGAGGUAGUGAAAACUGAGUUCUAAGGGAACAAGUAAUGAUACAAACCGUGGCAGACAUCUGGUAACAAUGUUGGGUGCUGGAAAAUGGAGAGAAGGAACACUAAUGAAAUUGCUUUGUGCACAGAAAUGACUUGAGAAAUAAAUCACAUUGCCUUGCAUUUUAUUGGAUAUUAUGCAGAAAGGGGCAACUAGAAACCUAUUUUAAGCUUUACGGUUUUUGGAACCCCACUAAUAUAACUUAGCUAGCCUAGGCCGAGAAGUUUUUUACCCUUCCACAGGAAUUGCACAUGGCCUGGAUUCAACAAGCCUAGAAGUCUCUGAAGCUCCUUCGCUGAACCGGCAACUGGAAGGUUGCUAUGCCUGUAUUACAAAUUCCUGAGAGAACAAGCCUGGAAGACCAAGACUGGCAAGAUGAAGAGGAGGCAAUUUCCUGUGAUGGAGGACAACAAGAUGACUGUGACAUUGAUAACCAAGGAACUGCAUGGAAGUAGGGAGGAGGACUAACAGGUGACUAGGAUGAGAAGGAUCAACAGGAUGAGGAUGACUCUGCUUUCUGAGCAUUCCACUACUUAUUCUUCCGAAGACAGGCCAGCUGUUUGACCUUGACUGGUCGAGUAACAAAGAGGCCAUUGGAGAAAGAUGAGAAGAUGACAUUUCUCACCAUCAGUGAUGAAACUAGGGGAAUGGUGGCAGGGAGGAGGACUGACUGAGGACGAUGACCCUGCUUGCUGAGCAUACCGUGAUUUUUUCUCCUAGAAGUUGAGGACCAUCAAGCCUUACUGAGACUGGCUUGAUUAGGAACACGCUUGGACAUUUUCUGCACUUACAUGUACAUCCUGUACCUCCAUAAAUGUAACAAAAGGCCAGCCUGUUGGCCCCUGACGUGAGAAGAUAAAUCCAAGAGAAUAUGAAUGUUGUUAUAUUUUUGUGUAGUGCUGCUGUUUUUCAGUGUUGAUGAAAAAUAAUGUCAAUGUCAAAAACUUGUGAAAAAUGGUUAAGUAUGAGUUGUGUUUGCACAGUCACUUAGGUACAUUCCCUGAAACAAUUUUUUAAAAUAAAAGAUGAUUUAUUAACUCCAAAUUUACUCGAAUCCCCGCUGAAAAGGACUGUUGAUGACAAAGUUGGAUCUUUUUGGUAUGUCCUGAAAAUUGGUUAAAGCAAAGAUAAAUGGCUCUCAGUGGUAUUCUGGAAACAGCUCAAAUUGGGAAUUAAAACUCCCAUGACCAAAAAGAAAAGAGAAAAAGCAGGUUUUAUGCCAUUGUUGAUUAGAUUUGACAUAAAAUAAACUUCAACAUUGGGGUCAAAGUGAGGGUGUGUAUUGACAUACACCAGCAUCAAGGUUGGCCAUGUUUAUUACAAAAUCAUCUUAGUUUUGUGGCAGUUGUAGUUUAUCUCAGCGAUUAUUUCACUCCAAAAAAGAAAUGGCUCCUACAUUUAUAGUACAUUUUAAAGUUUCAAAAAAUGAAGAAAACUAAAGAGUUUUGUUUUCCAUUUUUCAAGAAAGUGAAAGCACAAAAGCAUUGUCACAGAGCUUUUGUUGAACCGGUAUCUAAUAUUUUUCUUGCCGAAAUUGUGAUGAAAUAAAAUUCUUUGAAUAAAUGUAAUAAAUUUAAUGAAAUUUAAUACAUGUAAGACAAGAAGGAUUGAUGGUACCCUCAAAACGUCGGGAUUUUCCUGUGGUGAAUGUGCAGGUUAAAGGACCUAUGGCCCUUUUCAGUAUUGACUGAAUAGAGAAGAUUUAUGAGCCAAAUUUCCUGUAAACAAAAAUAUUAGUGAAAAUUUUGUAGGCUGUGGACUAGAGCAAAGGUCCCUUCCACAUAGAAACACAACUACCCAACUGUUUUACUAAGUUAUUAAACUCCUAAUUGAUAAUUCUUAAUUGUCUGUAACAAAUUCUGCCUGAAACUGCAUAGACGUAAGGACAUCCAUAUUUCACUGUGUUUAUCAUUCUGUGUUUUUUGCAUGGACUCACCUCUUUGUUUUGUUUUGUUUUAACUUUAUGAAAGUUGGUAUUUGUGCACUUUGGUGUUUUCUGUUCAGAUAAUUCUGCCUCACCCACCCUAUUGCUUUCAUACUAACCAAACAGAUAAGCACAGUGUAUGCUGGAUGUUGCAAAUAAAGGUGCAGACCUGAUUUACAAAACUGUUGAAAAUAAAACUGGCCAGCACAAUAAUUUUAAGAGGUUGGGAUCUUCCUGUAGCCUACCUUCUCAAGCACUGUUUUACUAAUGCUUUCCCUCCCGGAGAAACGGACAAGUCUCACAAAACUAAAGUGGUUACACCUUCAUAUCCACCAUUUCUACUGUAGUUUUGAAAAAAUGGUUUCAAACAAAUCAAAAUUUUGAAAAAGUUCUCAAAGCAAUGAUAAUAAUGCAUGUUAUCAACAGCAAGCACCAUCAGUCCUUUGUAACCUGCUUUAAUUAUAAAAGCAGCUUAUUCCUUGAAUCAGUUAUGCUCAAGGAUCUACUCUUUUUACGUCACAGUUGUUUUGCCUACGAGUGGCUGCUAAAAUUAUGGCUGGCCAUCAAUGCGAAAGUAAAAGAAUAAUUCCAAUCCCAAAUAGCUAUCAGAACACCAGAUAGUAAUACACAUAUUACUUAAUAAUAAAUGAAAAUGAAACCCUCUUUAAAAUUAAUGGGACAAAUGUAUCUUUUGAACGAAAUUGAUUGAAAACUAAAGGGUGUUUUUCUUUCUGUAAACUUUGGCCGCCCAUACAUAUUGUAGAAUGAGAGUGGUCUAUCAACUCACUACAAAAUGUUUGGAAAUUAGCUACCAGUUUGAUAGCAGGAUUUGCCUUUGACAACUUUGAUAUAAAAGUCUGCAAAACCCUUUAAAAGAUCUUUUCCCUUAGUUUUGCGUUUUAUGGCAAAAAUUGUAAACUAUGUAAAAAAAGUAUGAGAAUGAUGUAGGUCAAAAGAAAUCAUAAUUUCAUAAUAAUUUCAUAAGUAUAUAUAUUGUACAAUGGACUAUAUUCCUAAAAAAGGCAUUUUUUUAUCUUGAACCUCAAAUCUUGUUUUAAUAAAAUAUUAACUAAUUAAGGUACUGGUAAUCGACUAUUUUGUGGAUUCCUGUUGGCCUCAUUUCCCUUGAAUUUAUUUUCAAAACCUGGCAUAAAAGUCUAACAAAGGUAUGUUUCAUCACAUAUGUGAAUUUAUGUAUGUGAAAAUGUUAAUUUUUAAUUUAUAAUUUUACUGAUUCCCUUCAAAAAUUAAUACAAACCUAGCUUUUAAUUUAAAUAUGGGUGACUCCAGAAUAUUGUCCAUUGCAAAUGUUGAGUUAUUAGUUUCUUCAUUCUCAACCUAAUUUCAGUUUUGCAAUUCAUUAUGUUUACUGUAUAACUAAUUAAUAGAUUAUAAAAAUUUUUAUACGGUGCCACUGUCUCUUUUGUAACAAAAAAUGAUCAGUUAUCUAAUGAGCACAGAAGCAAUAAAGUCAAUCACACACGUGAAAUCCGAGCCCUUACCUCACUAUAGUUGAGCUGCAACCCGACUACAAAGCCAAUUUCCAAGCGAUGGGAGAAUAAAGACCAUUAUUUACAUUUCUGAAU